GAUGAACGCUAGCUACAGGCUUAACACAUGCAAGUCGAGGGGCAGCAUGACGAUAGCUUGCUAUUGUUGAUGGCGACCGGCGCACGGGUGAGUAACGCGUAUCCAACCUGCCCUUGUCCACCGGAUAACCCGUCGAAAGGCGGACUAACACGGAAUGCAGUUCUCAGCGGGCAUCUAACGUGGACGAAAUGUAAAGGAGAAGGACGGGGAUGCGUCUGAUUAGCUUGUUGGCGGGGUAACGGCCCACCAAGGCGACGAUCAGUAGGGGUUCUGAGAGGAAGGUCCCCCACAUUGGAACUGAGACACGGUCCAAACUCCUACGGGAGGCAGCAGUGAGGAAUAUUGGUCAAUGGGCGAGAGCCUGAACCAGCCAAGUAGCGUGCAGGAAGACGGCCCUAUGGGUUGUAAACUGCUUUUAUACGGGGAUAAAGUGGGUCACGUGUGGCUUAUUGCAGGUACCGUAUGAAUAAGGACCGGCUAAUUCCGUGCCAGCCGCCGCAGUAA
rnacentral:rRNA from 1 species